ACGGAAUAGAUACCCAGGUAGUCCACGCCGUAAACGAUGUCUGCUAGCCGUUGGGGGGCUUGUCCCUUCAGUGGCGGAGUUAAACGCGAUAAGCAGACCGCCUGGGGAGUACGGCCGCAAGGUUAAAACUCAAAUGAAUUGACGGGGGCCCGCACAAGCGGUGGAGUAUGUGGUUUAAUUCGACGCAACGCGAAAAAACCCUUACCCGGUCUUGACAUCCUAGGAACCCCUUUAGAGAUAGAGGGGUUGCCGCAAGGAGCCUAGAGACAGGUGCUGCAUGGCUGUCGUCAGCUCGUGUCGUGAGAUGUUGGGUUAAGUCCCGCAA
rnacentral:rRNA from 1 species